rnacentral:rRNA from 1 species
UACGUAGGGUGCAGGCGUUGUCCGGAAUUAUUGGGCGUAAAGAGCUUGUAGGCGGUUUGUCGCGUCUGCUGUGAAAUUUCGGGGCUCAACCCCGAACUUGCAGUGGGUACGGGCAGACUAGAGUGUGGUAGGGGAGACUGGAAUUCCUGGUGUAGCGGUGAAAUGCGCAGAUAUCAGGAGGAACACCGAUGGCGAAGGCAGGUCUCUGGGCCAUAACUGACGCUGAGAAGCGAAAGCAUGGGGAGCGAACAGG